UUGGAGGGCAAGUCUGGUGCCAGCAGCCGCGGUAAUUCCAGCUCCAAUAGCGUAUAUUAAAGUUGUUGCAGUUAAAAAGCUCGUAGUUGAAUUUCGGGAUUGGCGCAUCGGUCGUGCCUCACGGGGUAUGAACUGGUGCAGUCAAUUUCUCACCUUCUGGAGAACCGCGAUGUCCUUAAUUGGAUGCCGCGGGGAACCAGGACCUUUACUUUGAAAAAAUUGAGUGUUUAAAGCAGGCAUUUUGCUUGAAUACAUUAGCAUGGAAUAAA
rnacentral:rRNA from 1 species